GAUGAACGCUAGCUACAGGCUUAACACAUGCAAGUCGAGGGGCAUCAGGAACAAAGCUUGCUUUGUUUGCUGGCGACCGGCGCACGGGUGAGUAACGCGUAUCCGACCUACCCAUAACUCGGGCACAGCCGCUCGAAAGAGCGAUUGAUUCCCGAUAUGUCCUUGGAGUAGAUUCAAUGAUGAAAGAUUUAUCGGUUAUGGAUGGGGAUGCGUAAGAUUAGGUAGUAGGCGGGGUAACGGCCCACCUAAGCCGACGAUCUUUAGGGGUUCUGAGAGGAAGGUCCCCCCACACUGGUAACUGAGACACGGACCAGACUCCUACGGGAGGCAGCAGUGAGGAAUAUUGGUCAAUGGGCGGAAGCCU
rnacentral:rRNA from 1 species